rnacentral:rRNA from 1 species
GAUGAACGCUGGCGGCGUGCCUAAUACAUGCAAGUCGAGCGAAGCGCGGACGGGUGCGUAACACUUGUAUAAGCUACUAUCAGACUGGGAUAACUUCGGGACUCCGGAGCUAAACCGUACACUUAUAGUUGGAUGCUGGGUGCAUGAGCUAGUUGGUAAGGUAACGGCUUACAAAGGCAACGAUGCAUAGCCGACCUGGGAGGGUGAUCGGCCACACGGGAACUGGGACACGGUCCAGACUCCUACGGGAGGCAGCAGUAGGGAAUCUUCCGCAAUGGGCGAAAGCCUGACGGAGCAACGCCGCGUGAAUGAUGAAGGUCUUCGGAUCGUAAAAUUCUGUUAUUAGGGAAGCGGUACCUGAACAGAAAGCCACGGCUAACUACGUGCCAGCAGCCGCGGUAAUAC